CAGUGGGGUCUCUGAGCAUGAAUUAUUGAAUUCUCUUUUGGAUAGAAAGCUUUAUUAGUAAAAAAAAGUAACAAAAAACACAACCCAAGGGACAGACUCAGAGAAGCAUGUUAAAAUGUUCUGAGGUUCAAUCAUCAUAUGACCCAAAAGAGGAUGCUUUUGAAUGGAUGGGGUGGGAUUUUCAAUUCCAAGGAUGUGGAAAUGAAAAUGAUUUCCAUAACAGACUUCAUUGAUGAAAGCAUUGUUUGUUUAUUUGAAAUGGGAAUCUAGUGUUCAUUUGGUGGUAGACAAGAAUUGUAAUCUCUCCUAUGUACUGUUUGGUGGGGAGGAAAAAAAAUUUAAAGUCCUAUGUAAUGUUUGUUUAUCUUGACAUCUAUAAAGUUGUUCUUACCUGGAUUUUAAUUUGUUCAUUUUUAGUUCUUACUAAAAAAUACUCCAUUUAGAUUGAUAUAUAAAUCUUGGUAUUAUUCAGUAAUUAGCCUUACUAAAAAAAAAUAGUUUAAUUAUAAUAUUUCAUAGUGUCAUAUAUAUAAUUUCUAUGUAUCAACAAAAAAAUUUAGGUUGCUAGGGUUACUUGAGUUAUGAAAACUCAUGCCCAAAUUGCCAAUUUAGUUCCAAUUGUAUUUUGUUCUUUAAUUGCCAACAAAAAAAAAACCCAAGUUGCACCCUCACCUCUAGUUCCAAUUGUAUUUUGUUCUUUAAUUUUUUACAAAUUGCCAAUUUAGUCCAACUGAACAAAAAUCAAGCAUAAAAGGAUAUAUUUAAGAGAGAAUAGACCAUUUCAUAAUAGAUGCUAAUUUUUAAUAUAUUGGGACAUAAUGCUUAGUUUGGUUUGAUUUAUGCUUUAAAUUUACUGCUAUUGACAAAUGUGUGAAUGACUAGAUGAAUAUAAUCUUUUUUAUUGAAAUAAGUUUGCAUUUGUUAUCAUGCUUUUGCUAAGGCAGUCAACUGGUCAAUAAUUUUGAGAGGUUUCUUUCUUCUCUAAAUCUUACUCAUAAUUACCACCAAUUUUUCAUCAUGUACCUAUCAUAUCCAAUAACUAUUACAAUAAUUUUGUACCUUCAUCAAACUAUAAAUGGCUAAUCAGUUUACUCAAUCAUCAAACUAUUCAAAAAUUCAGAACACCACUCACACCACUUGUCCUAUAUAUAAAGUAUACAAGUUGUUUAGUGUGAAUUAUUUGUCACACUCUUUGCAUUAACUGAUUCAAUAUUUUAAAACUCAACAACCUUUAUUUCAUAUUUUUUAUUCGUAAAUUACAAAUAGUGUGUAUUUAUAUGUAUGUAUAUAUGUGCUAUUUGUAAUCAACUUUUUGGAAGUUAAGUGGAAGAUAAUGGACUAGCAUUGCAAUUUAGGGAAGACAAGAAAACUGUUGAAGCAUUUCAUUAACAUGUUGUGUGCAUGAGACUUGUUUGGACAAAUUAAGGGGGGCUAGCAAAAACAUGCCUUUGGACUUUGCAAUUAGUUUUAGAUAACACACAAAGUGAUAAAAAAAAAAUAAAUAAAUAAAUAAUAAAUAACUAAAUACACGAGUUAUAAAUGUUUCAUAACACAAUAUCGAUGCACAUGCUCUUUCAUGCACGUUUUGAGUUUUGGUUUUGCUAAUGCUGUCAUUCUUGGUGUGAUGUUUGUUAACAUAGUAUGUUUCUCUCUUGUUUUUUAGUUUUUCAUUUGUUGAAUUGUGUUUUGUUGGUAUAACAAAACAACUAUCCAACACCUUUGAUUAUAAAUAAAAAAAAAAUUAAUGAGUGGGAAGUCGUGUAUUUAUGUUGACAGAUUUGAUGGUGCAGUGGCAGCGGCUCAAAGAGUAGCACGGCUGGACUUAAGCAACAAGGAAGUGAACAUGGUGGUUAGGAGGACACGGGCGGUGGCAAUGGCUCAGUCCAACAGUAACGAUUUGUUCAGGGGAUAAAGAUACUCAGAUGCUUGUGUUGCAUAUGGAGAGGGACUCGACCAUGACCCCUACAACUCGGUGUUGUUGUGCAGCAGAGCCACUUGCAAGUCCAAACUUGGUCAAUUUGAGAAAGCAAUCAAGGACUGGACUGCUGCCCUUAAUGUGCGCCCAUCUUACAGGAAAGCCAGAUUAAGAAGAGUCAAUUGCUAUGCCAAGGUUAUGGCAAGCAAGACAAAGAUCUACAUUGUGCUCGAGUAUGUUGGUGAGGGUGAGCUUUUUGACAAAAUAGCCAAACUAGGAAGACUUAAAGAGGAUGAAUCUAGGAGAUAUUUUCAGCAGCUCAUCAAUGCUGUAGACUACUGCCACAGUAGGGGCAUGUACCAUAGAGACUUAAAGCCCAAAAAUCUGCUUCUAGACUCAUUUGGUGUUCUCAAGGUUUUAGACUUUGGAUUGAGUGCAUUUUCCCAGCAAGUGCAGGUAAGUAUUAUGUGAGUUUGCAACAAUUUCCUCAUCUGAGAGCAGAUUUUUAGUAGGUGGGUGUUUAAUAAAUUGAACGUCAAAUUUUUAAAAGUGGUAGUAGCACUGAGUCAAUUUUGCAGCCUAUUUAGUUUACUAAAAUCACGUAGUCCAGAAACUACCUUUCCGGCCAGGAGCAGCGCCCUGCUCUGAAAGGAAUUCCUCAGGAAUAAUGUGGCCAUUAGUUUUUCUUCUAUCCUUCAGUAGCUUGUUUAUUUCUUGUUUCUAUUAAUUUGGAAAUGAACUUUUUUUUAUGAUUUGUGUCUUUCCUUUCCCUCUUUUUAUAUUAGUUUCCCCAAAUCAAGGAGGCUGUUUAGUUUUGUUAGUUGACUUCUUCAUAAGAUUCUGUAUUAUGCAUCAUCUAGAUUUCGACACUUCGAAAACAUUCAGAGACCAUUUUUUAAGACUUGAUCUAAUCCACAUUGAGGUUAUAUGAUCUCAAUAUCAUUCAGACACAUAAGUUGUGGAUUGCCUUAAACCUAACCCUCAUUCAUCAAUAUAAGUUGGUGUUGUGGCUUUGCUUAAUCAAAGACUGACUACCUUUUUUACUGUCGGAAGACGUGCUGUUUCACACUGCCCGUGGAACCCCAAAUUAUGUUGCUCCUGAGGUGCUCACUACUAAAGGUUAUGAUGGUACAGCAGCUGAUGUAUGGUCUUGUGGGGUCAUUCUGUUUGUUCUUAUGGCUGGAUACUUACCUUUUGACGAGCCGAACCACAUGGCUUUGAAAGCAUUCAAGCACUUAAUUUUUUAAAGUUUUUUUUUAAUUUUUUAAUAUAUGUAAUCACAGUUAAAUUUUUUUUAUUAAUUUCUUUGUAUAUACUUUUGAAAAUUUAACUUUCAUUUAUUAAAUAUAUGAUGUUAUU